UACGUAGGGGGCAAGCGUUGUCCGGAAUCAUUGGGCGUAAAGAGCGUGUAGGCGGCUUGGCAAGUCUGACGUGAAAUCCUGCGGCUCAACCGCAGGCUGUCGUUUGGAAACUGCCUCGCUAGAGUCCGGAAGAGGAGAGCGGAAUUCCUGGUGUAGCGGUGGAAUGCGCAGAUAUCAGGAAGAACACCUAUGGCGAAGGCAGCUCUCUGGGACGGUACUGACGGCUGAGACGCGAAAGCGUGGGGAGCGAACAGG
rnacentral:rRNA from 1 species